CCUACGGGAGGCAGCAGUGAGGAAUAUUGGUCAAUGGACGAGAGUCUGAACCAGCCAAGUAGCGUGAAGGAUGACUGCCCUAUGGGUUGUAAACUUCUUUUAUAUGGGAAUAAAAUGUUCCACGUGUGGGAUUUUGUAUGUACCAUAUGAAUAAGGAUCGGCUAACUCCUUGCCAGCAGCCGCGGUAAUACGGAGGAUCCGAGCGUUAUCCGGAUUUAUUGGGGUUAAAGGGAGCGUAGGUGGAUUGUUAAGUCAGUUGUGAAAGUUUGCGGCUCAACCGUAAAAUUGCAGUUGAAACUGGCAGGCUUGAGUACAGUAGAGGUGGGCGGAAUUCGUGGUGUAGCGGUGAAAUGCUUAGAUAUCACGAAGAACUCCGAUUGCGAAGGCAGCUCACUGGACUGCAACUGACACUGAGGCUCGAAAGUGUGGGUAUCAAACAGGAUUAGAUACCCUAGUAGUC
rnacentral:rRNA from 1 species